GGGCACCUACAUUGUAUUAAAAUAUAAUGAUUCUGAGUUAAAGCAUAUCCAAACAGUUCACCAAAACAAAAAACACUGGAUUUUUUCACAUUUGUUUCGUUUCCAUGGCAACGGCAGCCAUCUUGAUGAUGCCAUACCCCACUGCACUAUUUAAUGUGGUGGUCAACAUUAUGGUAUAGUUCCAUCAAUAUUGUUCAAGUCAAUUCUGAGAAAUAGUAUGGACAAAAAUGUGUGGAAGAAUAAAUAUAAUAAGACAAAAAGAAACGAACAAUAACAAUAUGUCACCCCAACUCCGUUGAGGGUGCCAUAAUAAGAAACCGAACAAAAACAAUAAGUCGCAAAAAACUCCGUUUUGGUGACUUAACUAGAUUUGUAAUUGCUAGCAAUAACGGAUGGCACCCUCGUCCCCCAAUUGCCAGGCGAGCGGCAACCAUUUUGAAAUUUCCAAAGUUAAAGAGCGC
rnacentral:lncRNA from 1 species